rfam:Danio rerio unplaced genomic contig NA918, GRCz11 reference primary assembly.
GGGGAAUUAGCUUAAAUGGUUAAGCGCUCGCUUUGCAUGCGAGAGGAAGCGGGAACAAUGACUGCAUUCUCCA